ensembl:snRNA U6 U6 spliceosomal RNA
GAGCUCGCUUCUGUAGCACAUAUAGUAAAAUUGGAACAAUACAGAGAAGAUUAGCAUGGCCUCCACCCAAGGAUAACAGGCGAAUUCGUUAAGCAUUCCAUAUUUUU